rnacentral:lncRNA from 1 species
AGGUAUUCCUGGAUGGUUUGAUUGCCCCGUUUCAUUAGUGUUAUUUCCUCUUUGAGUUGCAUUGCCCUAGUUCGAGAUUUGCUAGCAUAGAGGGUGUUUAAUUUUUGCCACGCUUCCUAAGAAGUUUUGGCAAACAAAAUGAGAGGGGUGAUGGUCGUCGCAGUGGAUGCUAGGAUAGUACUUAGGAUUAGUUUAUCCUGCUUUACCCAGGGUGUUUUUUGAAGGGAGGAUGAGGGUUGGUCAGCUUGAUGGGGGCAAGGUUUUUCUCCAGUGACGUAGUUGAGGAGGUUGUACCCAAUUAGAAGAGCUUCAAAUUGGGCACGCCACUAUGGGAAGGUUGAGAGAGUAAGUUUGUCAUUGAUUUGUGCUGUAACGUUGAGAGCAAUCAAGGGGAUAUCUGUUGGGGAUGAAGAAUUUUGAGUGGGGUUAGAUGAAAUGGGGAUCAAACUCUCGUGAGAGAAUGGCUGCUCUGAUACCAUGAUGGAAAUUCAACAAGAGCAACUGAUGGAAAUUAGAGCAGUGUUUUAUUUCUCUGUAAAAAUGACAGACUUUACAACCUCCAUUUUACAAUGACUUGCGUACAUUUAAAUUCAAAAUCUCCUAUCUCUAUUUUAGGAAAUUAGCCAACAUUUUGCAUAUAUAAAAAUAGCAGGCUAAUUUCAUUAUUAUACAAAAAUAACAUUUAUAGAAAAUUGAUUGACUGUUACAGGCAUAAUUAUUGGCUAUCUUGCUGGUUUUGAUUCUUGGCUUGAUUUGUGGUGGCUGAUUUUUGCUCCUUGGCUUGAUUAGUGAAAUCUUCCUUCAUAUCAAACCUAAAUUACCAGUCUUCUACUUCGCAAACUAAAGCUCAUAUGCUCUUGCUCAAAACCAUGAGGAUCCAAAAUUGUAUAAUUCAGUCCAGAUACAAGAAUCUAAAAUAGUUAUUCUCCAGAAGCCUCUAAUAAAAACCCUUAAGAGAUGAGCAGGUACUCUCAGUUUGUUCAUUAACCUGGAAACUUAUGUAACCUUCUCCACUUUGUCCUCAAUGGCUCUCCCUCAUAUAUCCAGGUUCUCUUUAUGCACGGUUUUGACUAAUUAAAUAGGAGUAAAGUAGUCUCUAGAAACAAGGUAAAGGAGCUCGUCUGUCUUUAAGACUUCAUUACUAAAGCUUAGAGCGGCUCAUAGGCAAAGACAGCGAAGAGUUCAGUGGGGGUGAGACAAAUAGAUGAGCUUAAUAAGUCAAGAAACUGAAAAAUGGAAAACAGACGUGCAGGAGUAGGAUAGUUGAGAAGUGAAAAUGAUAAUAUAGACUGCAUAAAGGCGUUAUAGUGUUCACAAACUUCUUGGACCACAAUACUAUUGGGGACCAUCUAAUUCUCAAGCUAUGAACCAACCACAGAAUUUUGCAAACUGGCUUUAAAACUUAUUAACCAUUCUUUUGUAUUAUGAUUUACUCAUAACAAAUUCAACGCUGCUGAUUAUCAGAAGACUAACUGAAGUCUACAAAUACAAUCAUCACAUCACAACAGAUUCUUUCAUUUGGUUAUCCUUGACACAACCCCUUCUACACCGCCUCCCAAUGUAGAAUUUAGGAACAUCCCUGAAAUUUCCUUCAUCUCGUGGCCAACAAAAUGAAAGCAACAACUCUAUAUAUUAUUGUUGAACAUGAAAUAGUAAUUUUUAAUAUGAAUAUUUUCCUUAAAUACAACUCCGUGACACUUGGACUGGACUACAAAGUCACAUGACCAUCUUCAGGAGCAAGCAAUAGAACAGCCAGUCCUAAGGCCCCCAAACUGCCUUACACUUCUGCUAUAUUGUGAACGCCUAUUCUGAACGUUAAUCAUACACUUCAUCUUCUAUAAAUGAAAUUCUGUGAAUUUUUGAAGGAACAGAACAUACAUUUCCACUUACCUAGUCUCAAUGUCAUAAAGUUCCAGAUAUUCACAUGAAACACAAAACGUCAUGAAUCCAACACAAUCCAUACAUUUGCAUAACCAAAAUUCUCAAGAAUCCCAAUCCACAAAUUUCAUCAUCUCUCCCUAUGAAGAAUGUUAACUCAUCUAAAAAUUUAAACUGUCAUAGAUGUGAUGCACAUAUUUAUUUAAAUGUUUUCUUCAACACACUCAUAGUAAUAGGCCCAACGAGUGAUCAUUUUUCAUAAUUAGGUCUUUAGGAUCUAAUACAAUGUUAAUCGUUCCAUGUAAAAGUUUUAUUAUCUGUACAAGUCUAAAUAGGAACCUUUUUCAUUCCAAAUAUGUAAACAAUUUCAAAUGAUUCCUUGUAAGUUGAAUCUUUGGUACUCAAAAAAUAGGAAAUAGGUCAAUCUAUCUAUUCUAUCGAGUAUGGAGUCAACUGAAGUUGCAGACAAAAAGAACUUUAACUAUGCCACAGAAAUCCAAAUCCCAAACCCAUAAUCACCCUUGGGCACAUCAAAACCAACAAAAUACAAAUAUAUAACACCCAGGACUAUAAUAAACAGCAAAAUAAAGAGUAUAUAGGCAGAUUUUUUUACCAGUUCUUCCACCCGCUCCAGUAACAAGAACAGUACUUUUGUUCUAUUAUGUUGACCUCGUUUUUGGUUACGUUGAUGUGUGUUUGAAUUGUGAUGCCAA